rnacentral:lncRNA from 1 species
CCUAUGGGUUUCCCAGGACUCUCCAGUCUGAUUUAUCUAUGUCUUUGUUCCUUCAACUGCAGUGCAUAACCUGUACUCCUUGUCUGAAGAUAGACUAUUACACCAGAAGAGGAAACAACACUUUAACUUGCAAAUGCAAGGCAAGGAUUCAGCUCAGGAGAUGGACCAAGCCUUCAGAUGGUGGAAUCUGCAUGUUUAUGUGAACUACCAGAUUUCCUGCAUUGAGCUGUGAGGGAUUUGAAUUCCAAAUAGUGCAAAUGGAGAAACAGACAUGUGUUGGCUGGCUAUUUAUUUCAGUAGACACAAAUUCAUCAUCGAAAAAGAAAUGGCCAUAGUUCAUAGUACAAUUUCUAAAAUAAAUGAGCAAUCAAUGGUAGAAAUAUUCCAUUGGCAGAGCGAACACUUUAUGCAGGCAGUUUUUUCUGGGCUUUGAUUUAUAUUCCAUUGUCCUGUGCAUCUACAUCUUCAUCUCAGGUAUGCUGACUUGAUAAUUAGUUUUCUAUUGUUAUAAGGAUAGACAGUGUGACUUGUUUUCUUCAGUAUUGCUUUGACAAAUUUAUGUCUUCUGCUCUGCCAUCUACACUUUAGCAAUAAUCUUUGACAUGUCUACUACAUGGGCCUUUAUUUGAAUGAUAUUGCAUUGCUGGAAUAUAGUAAAUUGAGUAGGAUUGUUCUACAACAGUGAAUUUUUUCAAUAAAUUAUUUUCUAGUUCCACUUAACAUUAAAGUGUGUCCCAUAUUGUUCUUCUGUUUAAUGUACUCUGGCUGGUUUUUUUUUUUUUGUUUUGUUUUUUUUUUGUACUCUGGCUGUUUAAUACUGACUUCCCUUGUCCAGAUAUUGAGAGUACAGUGAACUUUUUAACCUACAG